CGGAGGAAAAGAAACCAACAGGGAUUCCCUUAGUAACGGCGAGUGAACCGGGAAAAGCUCAAAUUUGAAAUCUGCCAACAGGCCGAGUUGUAAUUUGUAGAUGGCUACACUGCAUAAUAGUAGAUGCUCAAGUUCUUUGGAAAAAGACAUCAUGGAGGGUGACAAUCCCGUGAGGCAUGUUACUAGGAGCAUAUAGUGGGCUUUCUAAGAGUCGAGUUGUUUGGGAAUGCAGCUCAAAGUGCGUGGUGAAUACCAUGUAAAGCUAAAUAUGGACGAGAGACCGAUAGCGAACAAGUACUGUGAAGGAAAGAUGAAAAGCACUCCGAAAGGAGAGUGAAAUAGUACGUGAAAUUGUUAAAGUGGAAGGGCUUGAGAUCAGAAUUGGUAGUUUGGGUUCCACGUCCUCUUGGGGGCGUGUACUCCCUUUCCACCGGGCCAGCGGGAGUUUCGUCUCUUGGGUAAAAGCAGUGGAAUGUAGCAGCUUGUCUGUAUUAUAGCCUCUGUUCAUACAAGACGUCGAGACUUGAUUUGUUGGCGUAAUGAUCUCUAGCCACCCGUCU
rnacentral:rRNA from 1 species